rnacentral:rRNA from 1 species
GAUGAACGCUGGCGGCAUGCCUAACACAUGCAAGUCGAUCGGUAAGGCUCUUCGGAGUACACGAGAGGCGGACGGCUGAGUAACGCGUAGGAACACACCCUGCAGUGAGGGAUAAGACACCGAAAGGUGUUCUAAUACCGCAUACGGUCUUCGGAUUAAAGCAUUUAUACGCUGAAGGAGUGGCCUGCGUCAUAUUAGAUAGUUGGUGAGGUAAUGGCUCACCAAGUCGAUGAUGUGUAGCUGGUCUGAGAGGAUGAUCAGCCAGACUGGAACUGAGACACGGUCCAGACUCCUACGGGAGGCAGCAGUGAGGAAUAUUUCACAAUGAGCGAAAGCUUGAUGGAGCAAUGCCGCGUGCAGGAUGAAGGCCCUCGGGUUGUAAACUGCUUUUAUAAGAGAAGAUUAUGACGGUAACUUAUGAAUAAGGGACGGCUAACUACGUG